rnacentral:lncRNA from 1 species
CGGCGGAAGACUCAGUGGUGGCGACACGACUCCUUUUUGCUAUUUGAUACUUAUUUACGAUUUUUAUUUUUAUUUUUAUUUUUGGGUAUUUUUUUGUAAUAAUGGCCUCUCUGGAUUUUUACCUAAAAUUUCAAUUUUAUAUUGUUUUCUAUUUAUAUCUACUAGAAAUAGGAGAAACUCGGGUUUUCAAAAGAGAUGAAUAUUUUAUCAAAAUGCCAUGUACACACAAAUUAUUUUUAAAAAGCUUCCGCAAAGUAUAGCGUUUUAGAAAUGAAUCACGAUUCG